CAGUGCUCUUACCUCCUCGUAAUCGUUCUCUGGUGUGAGGAAGUCAUCCACGAUGGUGAUCCGGUGGCCCAGCUGCUCGCUCAAGGCAUCCAGGAAGCGAUCUGUGUCCCGGCUGCGUGGUGGGCGCGAGAAGGCAAGACGGACUCGAUCCACACCGGGGCAUGUCCGCGUAGUGUAAAUCCAAAGCUCCGACUGCCUUUAUAGACCCGGACGGUCCUGGAGAGGCAAGGAUCGAGGCGGGUAACAGGCCCAAGAGGAAGAGAUGUAUUGAGAGGCCAUGCAUGAAGAGACACAUGGGACAACAAAGAUGCAAGGUAAAGACAACAAGGGCAAACUGUGAAGGAAGGAAGGCUGUCAGAAGGCUUCCUCUCUAUUGAAACACAUCUGCCUUCUGCAAACACAUCUGCAAUCUACAAACAAACUGCUUUCUACAAACACAUCUGCUGUCUGCAAAUAUGACUGCCUUCCGCAAGCACAUCUGCCUUCCAUAAACACACCUGCAGACUGCAAACACAUCUGCCUUCUACAAACACAUCUGCAGUCUGCAAACACAACUGCCUUCCAUAGACAUAUCUGCAAUCUGCAAACACAACUGAAGCUCAUCUGCCUUCCACAAAGACAUUUGCAAUCUGCAAGCUCACCCACCUUCCACAAACACAUUCCACAUGUCUUCCGCUAUGACAGGAGUGGGAAAACCAGUGCAGAAGGCCACCCAAAGCAUCUGUACCUGAUAUUGUCUAU